rnacentral:rRNA from 1 species
GACGAACGCUGGCGGCGUGCUUAACACAUGCAAGUCGAACGGAAAGGCCCUGCUUGCAGGGUACUCGAGUGGCGAACGGGUGAGUAACGCGUUGGGGAUCUGCCCUGCACUUCGGGAUAAGCCUGGGAAACUGGGUCUAAUACCGGACAGGAGCCAUUUUGAGUGUGAUGGUUGGAAAGUUAUUUCGGUGUAGGAUUAGGUCGCGGCCUAUCAGCUUGUUGGUGGGGUAAUGGCCUACCAAGGCGGCGACGGGUAGCCGGGCUGGGAGGGUGGCCGGCCACACUGGGACUGAGAUGCGGCCCAGACUCCUACGGGAGGCAGCGGUGGGGAAGAUUACAUAAUGGGCGGAAGCCUGAUGCAGCGCAGCCGCGUGGGGGAUGACGUCCUUCGGGUUGUAAACUCCUGUCGCUAGGGACGAAGCGUUUGUGACGGUACCUGGAUAAGAAGCACCGGCUAACUCCGUG